CACCUAGCAGGUAGACAUGAGUCACAACUCAACUGAACCCCGUCCUGCACUUACAGGGAGCAGCGCAGUUCCUUCUCUAGGACAAGCACCAGCCCCAAAUUCUGGGAUGGAUAUAGCUGCUUUGUCUUGUUUUUAAAGAGGCCAACUUCGUUUUAUGGACACUGGCAGAUCAAGGUGUCUCUAUGUUCACUUGUUUUUCUCAAGUCCAUAGAGACAAUAAUAACAUCUCCUUCCAAAAAGAUCCACACCCUCCUUAUUCUGAGUCAAUUCCAGUAAAUUAAACCAAAUAACAAUGUAGCCCAAAGUAACAGGGCCGACGGGCUCAGACGGGAACAGCCCCAGGACUCUAUCCACCCAGUUAUUUCUUUCACGGAUGUUGUCUACACGCUCGUUCUCAGGAAUCCCCUCCUGCACCAGCUGCAGGUUUGUGGGGUGUGGAUGGUAACAGAAAUUCCGCAUGGAAGUACAGCAGACCCGGGUGGAGAGCUACAGGGACUGGAUCAAAUGUCCCCACCACCGCCAGCACCUUGAUGAGCCUCUUGGCCCACCGCAUCCAGUCAUCACUGUGACACCAGGCAAAAAUACUGCCUGUGGGGCUGACACCGGAUCAGUAUAACUGAACCCCAAUGAGCAGGGAGGGCCCAGGUUUGCCUCAUAGAACUGGGUGGCAAGUUCAGAGGGGCUUCUCUAUGGUCCUGGCUCCCUUCCCCCACCUCUGUCUCUCCCUGUCUCUCUCUGCCUCCCAUCCUCUCUCGCCAUGGAUCCUCUGCACCCCUGAAGAAUCAUCUUCCUCACAGUCCAGGGUCCUCUCUUUCAGUGAGCUCAUGGCUUCCCCAGCUCCCUCUCACCCACCCCCUGCAGCCAAGCACCAACAGAGACUAAUUAAAUUCAAUGGUCCCAGGUCCAAAUUAUGGGGACAGCCUCUCAUGGGCCCAGCUGGGUGGGGGAAAGCCCCAGUCCAGUCACUCAUGCAUUCAUGGCUUGGGGUGCUGGGUACAGAAGAGUGGGCGCUGUCUGGGCACGGGUGCUGUACGGUGGGCGCAUUCACUGAUGUGGUGGCAGCAUUCAUCCUGGCAUGUUGUUCCAGGGCCAUACAGAGUUAUUACUGUGGGGCUGGAGGGCAGCUCCAACCCCGUGUGUCUGAGUCACCUAAUCUACAGUCAGAUCUCCGGCGAUUAGACUAUAUUUGGGGUGUCACAGGGGAUCGUACCCUGAAGCCAGCAUUCAGAACACGCUCGGAGGAAUUCAUCUUGUUUACACAUGCCACUGAGCUUCGUGAACCAACGUUAAACUUCACCAGCUCGGUUCGAGAUCCUUUCGCAGUUAGUGAGCGGAUUACUGUUGUGGUGAAAAUAGUGGCAACCAUCAGAGGAAGCUGCAUUACUCACGGUGGCCAAGACAUGGAAACAGCCAAAGUGCCCUGCGAUAGAGGACUGGGUAAAGAAGAUGUGGUCCAUGUACACAAUGGAAUACUACGCAGCCAUAACAAAGGAUAAAAGACUGCCAUUUGCAACACCAUGGAUGGACCUUGAGAAUAUUAUGUUAAGUGAAAUAAGCCAGGUAGAAAAAGCUAAGAACCAUGUGAUUUCACUCAUAUGUGAGAUAUAAAACCGAAACUUGUGGACACAAACAGCAGUGUGGUGGCUGCCAGAGGGAAGGGGUUUGGGGAUGGGUAAAGGAGGCAAAUAUAUGGCGACAGAGACAAUUAACUUUGGGUGGUGGGCACACAGUGUAAUAUACAGAUCUUGUAACAUGGAAAUCCACACCUGAAACCUAUAUGACCAUAUUAACCAAUGUCACCCCAAUAAAUUUAAUUUAAAAA